AUACGGGGGGUGCAAGCGUUAAUCGGAAUUACUGGGCGUAAAGCGCGCGUAGGCGGAUAUUUAAGUCUCAUGUGAAAGCCCCGGGCUCAACCUGGGAACUGCAUGGGAUACUGGGUAUCUAGAAUACAGUAGAGGGUAGUGGAAUUUCAGGUGUAGCGGUGAAAUGCGUAGAGAUCUGAAGGAACAUCAGUGGCGAAGGCGACUACCUGGACUGAUAUUGACGCUGAGGUGCGAAAGCGUGGGGAGCAAACGGGAUUAGAUACCCUAGUAGUCC
rnacentral:rRNA from 1 species